AACGAACGCUGGCGGCAGGCCUAACACAUGCAAGUCGAGCGAGGACUUCGGUCUUAGCGGCGGACGGGUGAGUAACGCGUGGGAACGUGCCCUUUGCUUCGGAAUAGCCCUGGGAAACUGGGAGUAAUACCGGAUGAGCCCUUUGGGGGAAAGAUUUAUCGGCGAAGGAUCGGGCCGCGUUGGAUUAGGUAGUUGGUGGGGUAAUGGCCUACCAAGCCGACGAUCCAUAGCUGGUUUGAGAGGAUGAUCAGCCACACUGGGACUGAGACACGGCCCAGACUCCUACGGGAGGCAGCAGUGGGGAAUCUUAGACAAUGGGGGAAACCCUGAUCUAGCCAUGCCGCGUGAGCGAUGAAGGCCUUAGGGUUGUAAAGCUCUUUCAGCUGGGAAGAUAAUGACGGUACCAGCAGAAGAAGCCCCGGCUAACUCCGUG
rnacentral:rRNA from 1 species